rnacentral:rRNA from 1 species
CCUACGGGAGGCAGCAGUGGUUACUCAUGUCCAUGGGUUAAUUGCCUGAUGCAUGCAUGCACCUGUGAUUAAUUAACGCCUUACCCUUGUAAAAUUCUUUCGUCAGGGAUGAUAAUGACCGUGCCUGCUUAAUAAACACCCGUUAACUUCGUGCCAGCAGCCGCGGUAAUACGAAGGGUGCAAGCGUUAAUCGGAAUUACUGGGCGUAAAGCGCGUGUACGCGGUUAUUUAAGUCAGAUGUGAAAGCCCCGGGCUCAACCUGGGAAUGGCAUUUGAUACUGGGUAACUGGAAUGUGGUAGAGGGAGGCGGAAUUUCCGGUGUAGCGGUGAAAUGCGUAGAUAUCGGAAAGAACACCAAUGGCGAAGGCAGCCUCCUGGGCCAACAUUGACGCUGAGACGCGAAAGCGUGGGGAGCAAACAGGAUUAGAUACCCUGGUAGUCCACGCCCUAAACGAUGAGAACUAGACGGUGGGGAGGUCACUCUUCGCUGUUGAAGCUAACGCGUUAAGUUCUCCGCCUGGGGAGUACGGCCGCAAGGUUGAAACUCAAAUGAAUUGACGG